UACGUAGGGUGCGAGCGUUGUCCGGAAUUAUUGGGCGUAAAGGGCUCGUAGGCGGUUUGUCGCGUCGGGAGUGAAAUCAUCUGGCUUAACUGGGUGCUUGCUUUCGAUACGGGCAGACUAGAGGUAUGCAGGGGAGAACGGAAUUCCUGGUGUAGCGGUGAAAUGCGCAGAUAUCAGGAGGAACACCAAUGGCGAAGGCAGCUCUCUGGGACGGUACUGACGCUGAGACGCGAAAGCGUGGGGAGCGAACAGG
rnacentral:rRNA from 1 species